ACGUGAUCUGAGUUCAGACCGGAGCAAUCCAGGUCAGUUUCUAUCUAUAAGAAGUCUUCUCUAGUACGAAAGGACCGAAAAGGCAUAGCCAAUACAUUAGCAAGCUAUCCGCAUCAACUUAUGAUUUAAACUCAAUAAGCACCUAGUUCAACACUCAACCUUAGAAAAAGGUA
rnacentral:rRNA from 1 species